rnacentral:lncRNA from 1 species
UUUUUUACACAUAAUUAGCAUUUAAAUCUCUUUCCUACAGUCUCAUGCCCUCCCUCCAUCGCUCUCUCUCGCCUCUCUUACUCCAGCAGACUCUACAUGUCUCAGUCGCUAAGGCAACCGAUGCUUUUUUUUUUCUUCUCACUUGCUCUCUGUAUCUCCCCGUUUCUCUCGGUCUCCCUCGCUCAUUCCCUCUCUCCACUGCCAGAGGUAGGCAUGAUAACUGAUAUGUGUCGGAGUGUGUCUGUGUUUGUGUCCGUCUCCCGGUGUGCUCGUGUGUCUCUGAAGUGACAUUUCUGUGGCAUUUAGGAAGCAGUUGUGGAACGGGAAGUUGCCUCUCUGCUCAAAGUGCCAUAUAGAGUAUUGGCUCCUUGCAUGAUGCUUCUAAUGAUGAUGAAUGUUCUGUGCUCAGGUGUGUGUGCACUGUAAACGUGUGUGAGAGAGCAGCACAGACUACGAGUGUGUACUUCUGGGUGUUUUUGACUGCAGAUGUGGAUUCUGUAGAAACAUGUGGCGCAUAAUUGAGCGUUAAAUUUAAAAGCCCAGAGGAGUCUGAGAAUGUUUUUUUUUUUUUUUUUUUUUUUUAUAUAAAAGAUGACAGUUGGAUUUCUGCCAAUACUCCUGCUGGUGUCUAUGUUUACAUGUUCUUUUUUAUCUGGCAACAUAAAAGAAGAAGAAAAAAAAAAAGCUGGACCCUCCCCCUCCCUCUCCCUCUCUCCCCCUCCCUCUCUCUCCCUCCCUUGCCCCUCUGUCCUAUCUUACAGAGAGAGAUGAUCGGAGGAGCGGAGUCUCAGUGAACAGAGCGAAGCGAUGGAGAGAUGCUCCAUCUCUCCUGUCGCACGACUGACUGCCCUCGUCUCCCUCCUGCUGGUUGCUCUGGUGACACAGCCCUCCACCUGUAACCGUGACGACAGCGAGGGCGAGGAGCAGGUGGACGCCCUGUCGGUCCAGCUGUCCGUCACGGCCCAGGUCACACCCACCCCUCUGUGGGCGGUGGUCUGGGGUCCCACGCAGCCUCUGGAGGACGAGACCUACCACUUCCUCUCCAGCCAGGAAACGGAUCCCCUGCAUCGGCACGGGAACCAUCAGGAGGCGAGCACCGCCGCGUCAGACUGGCCUGCGAGCAUGCAGCCCCGAGAGGAGGCUCCGCUGGAGUCGAAGGACCGGGGGGGAGUGGAGGAUGCAGGGACGGAGGCGGAGGAGACGGAGCCUGAGGAAGUGGACCCUCAGUUCUACGUCACCGUGACCAUCUCCUCGCUGCUCAUCCUGACGGCAGUCGUGAUUACAGCCAAACUCUGUUACGACCGCAGCUGUUCCCAGCAUCCACCCCCGCUUUCCCGUGGCGUGGCCCCCCCACUCUCUCUCGCGCUCCCUCGCUCCCUCGCUACUGAGGACAGCCGGCAGACGCUGCACAACACCUCCUCCUCCUUCACCGACAGGGAGAGGAUCCCAGUUGUGAACCUCUGAGUGACUGUUUUUCCAUAUGGUAAACAUAUCUACGGGGCCUGAGGAGGAGCAUCAACACGACCGGAGGGUGCGCCCGCAGCGCCGUUUUAUUUUCCUGAAACUGUGAAAUAAAUCCAGGGGUCCCAGAUAUCCAGCCAUCACAGAAACUCCUCGACUUCCCCGAGGUGUAACAAACCCAAACAUCUCCCUGCUGCUCCCUCCUUCCUCUUCCUUCCUCUGUGCUCGGUGUAAUUGUCUUUCAUGUGGCUCUGCGUCCCUGUUACCUGCUCCCUGUUUUUCAUCCCUCGUUUGGCCUCGAGGUCCGACAAGCCAACCAAGCGCUCUGCGCCUCGGGCAGCCAUGACUAAUUCACAAGCAAGCAGUUUAACAGACGUGCAACAUCCCAUUACCACUGGAAGACCCCUACCUGUGCUACUACAGCUGACUCAUCUGAUCAGUAUGUAUCCCCAUCCUGCAGACUGUUCUUUCAUUAAACUCACUUCGCUUGUUUCUGGUUCACAAAUGGUUAAAAAGCCAUUCUCAGCAUCUCCAAACACUGAACGGGGUAUUUCACAAAGCUGUUUGGCACGGCUGUAGCCAACAGGCAAUGUGUUUAACAUGUCACGCUCCAAAAACUGCUGUUUAUUCCCCGCUUUGGGCGCCUGAAAUGCAAAUAGUGUGGCUUUUUUUUCCUUCUUCUUCUUCUUCUUCUCCUCUGUAGUGAAGAGGAGUCGCUUUUGUUUGAGUUUUUUCCUCAUGAUUUGUUUUCUUAAUUAUCUGGCUGACGUUCACCUCUUUGCGAGCUCCACUCUGUUCCUGCUGGACUGUGUUAGAGGUGCGCUAAGCAUCGAGCACUUCCAGUGGUGGAGAUAAAAUAUUCAGAGCGGAUAGAAGAGGCAUAGCUGUUGAAAAUCAAUGAUUCCCAAAGGUCUUGGAUGGUGCGCAACAAAGACAGGUUUAUGUGGAAGUGUGUGAACCGUGCGUGUGAUCAAAGGACGGAUGUUACCGCGACAAGGAUUUUAUUUCCCCACCUCACAGCCAAGUAUAUCAAUCUGGAAAACAAAACCACCAUAAUCCCCCCCCCCCCCCCCUUCAUCAUGUCUCGAGUCUUCGGCGCACCAAAGCAUCAAGGAGCUUCAUUUCUGUCUUCUCAACCAAUCUGCAUGUAUACAGUAAGAAAACCUGUGAGAGUAGCUUCAAAUCUAUUAUUUAUAAAUGUCUAUUUUACCUAUCGGCGAGUGAUGUCUUAUAGAAACUUUCAAAGCCAGAUGUCAGUUUGUGUUUGGCAACUUUUCUAAGCAGCUUUGAAACAUGAAACCCCUCUUACACAUCUCCUCCUCAGACACAUUAGUGCUGGUGGAAUCAUGCGUGGCUCGUGCAAUCCUCCAGAUAUCCAGUCUUGUGAUUUUUGAGUAGCAUUCCUGUAGAAAUGUGGUCUUUCUGUACCAUGGAAGUUCAAUAAAGACUCAACACUGGCGUUUUAGCUCUGCCGUCUAUCUGCUUCUUUCUGUGCAUGCUCAAUGAAUUCCCCUGGGAGCUGCAAUGCUUUAUGGGAAGGACACAAAGCUUACACUGUGCAUUUUAAUAGCUAACUCGUAAUCUUUUCCUCCCUGAAGUGAACAUUUAGUCCACUGGCAUUGAUUUUCGAAACCAUAGGCUUGGCAUUAAAAAGUCCUGCAAUGUGCCAAUCAUGUUUCUACCAGUGAGGAGCUGAAAAGGAGCCGAAGAAUAAGGCGGCGGCUGCUUGUGUCGGAAGCUUUCUCCUUAUCUCCUCACCUCAUAUGGAUUCCUCUUGCUUCACAAAGAUUAACAGGAUGCUAAGCAAGUAUUUCCUCUGUGUACAGUUUUUCAAACAAAUGUCAAUAAAAUCAAGGCGGGCGCCAGAGGACAAGUGCCACUCGUUUGUAUUGAGAUUCUCCACCACUCUGCUGCGGUUUCCAU